CAUUGUACAUUUCUCAGAUUCCACAACUCUUCGAUGCACAAGACUCGUAGCACGGGAAAACUGAAGUCAUCCAACAUCACCAUUUGUUGACCAGUGUAUGCAUUCCGCAGUCUAAGGUAUUUUAGCCAGGGUAGCUCCCCUAGUAGUGGCAUAGGGUCCUCAUCAAGACAGCUAUUAACCAAAGUCAAUGAUUUGAGAUUUAGAGGGAAACUUCUUGGAAGCCUCGCAAGGAGUCCAUCCAAUUUGACUGUUUCAAGUCUGUGUAGAAAACGAAGCUCGUCCAAACAAGGCAUGCUUCUGAAACGAUACCCUCUUAAGAUUAGGUGUUCAAGAUAGUCCAAGUCAGCCAAUGACUCCAAGAGCUUGCUUACAUCUGAUUUUCCGUCCAAUCCUUCUAUCCCCAAUUCCGUAAGACAUCCAAAAUUUAAGUACGAUAGGUCAAAUGUCCAAUUAUCAACCGAGACGUAGGUUAAGGUCUUCAUAAGCCAUAUUCUGACUAUCUUCAAAGGCUUCCAGCAAAUCACGUCAGACAUGUAGAGAUGGCGAAGGCUAGACAAUUCCCAUAUAACAUCUGGCACCUCCACCAUAAAGUUUUGAGCUAUGUCAAGAACUUCAAGCUUUUCCAAGAACCACAACGACUGUGGAAGCUCUUUUAUGUAAUUAUUUCUCAACCCCAAGUAUCUUAAUUCCAUCAAUGUGCAGAUAGUUUCCGAUAAAAAUUUCAACCCAAAAUCUUCCAAGUCAAGUAUCUUAUUAAGUUGUUCAAAGUUCUUCCAAUAAGAUGGACUAGUGUCCAAGUAGCCACCUCCAUGGAAGAAGAGAGAAACAAGAUGUUUAUCUUGAUCUGUGGAGUAGUUGAACUUGUCUCUGCUACAAAUGAUAACACGAUGAUGACGAGGAUUCUCAGAGGGUCGAUUAUUUCCAUUGUUCCUUAGCAUCUCAAAACCUAGUUUCUCCUGUGCUUUUUGGAUGGAUAGCAUGUGUAGCACAACAUUCAUGUGAUACUUCGUGCCCUUGUCAUUGACAUUAAUAAAAGAUUCAUUGACUAAAUCCUCUAAAUUUUGUUCACAUUCAUAUCCUGAAUCCUGUACUACUACUCCUCCUGUAACCCAAAUCAGUUUCAACUUUUCUUUCCUCAAAGUUGUAUUUUCCUUAAAGAAGGCCAUAGACAAGAAACAUGACCUCAGUUUGGGUUCUAAUUUAUGAUAAAAUGGUUCAAACAACUUCAAUGUUGAACCAAAAUCAACUGAUUCAAGAAGUUGUUCCCAUUCACCCCCUCCUGAGAGUUUCUUUUCCACUAACUGCUUUCCCACCUCUUUUAUAGCUAAUGGCAGACCGCCACAUUUUCUCAACAUUUGUUUUCCCAUAUACUUCAAGGAUACUGGGAAUUUGUGGUCACCCGNGGGUAUUCUUAUAUAUUGAUUCUAUUUUUUUAGUAUAUUUUUCGAUUACUAAUUCAUUGAUUUUUGAAAGAAUACUUUUUUAAUUAUGAUGAACAACGUAAUUUUUUGUGUCAUUAAACAUACCUACCAUAAAAAAAUACACAAUUGACUGGAUAUGCAAUGAUUCGGUGAAUGGUUAAUUACUUUAUCACCCUCUGUGAAAUAAAAAAUACUAGAUUUCUAAUCAGUUGAAUUAAAAAAAAUCAGUUUCAGCUUUUAAUCUUGGCAGCUAGAUUCAAAAUAAUGAAAGGACAAGAUUUAAUCUUAAUUCUUAUAACGUUUCUCAAUUGAUACUAACACUAUAUAUAUCCAUUAAAAAAAUAUUUGUGGAACGGUAAAAAUUAAUUGAUAGUAAGAAAUAGUUUUACUAAAUAAAAUCAUCCAUAAGAGACCCAAUAUAUUUUUUUUUUUUUUNGAAGCGAAAAGUGUACUUGAUAUUAAACCAAAUCAGCAACAGCAAUAUCUGAGAGCCAGUCGGGAAAACCGGACUUCCAGAUCAUUACAUCAGAGACAGAAAUAGAAUAACGAGCAAGCUCAUGAGCUGCUCGAUUAGCUUCACGACGAGCAUGAAGAAAAUCCACAACAACAAAAGUUCUAGCAUGAGAAAAAACUUCCCAAAGAUCAUCACAGAGCGAAUCCGAACCAUGAUGAGAGUCUUGAAGAAUGUGAAUGGCGAGCAAGGAAUCUGAAUAAACAACCACAUGACCUGUAUCAUUUUCCAAACAAAACCCAAUGGCAAGCAGAAGGGCGUGAAGUUCACCAAGCAGGACCGUAGCUGUAUGGCCAAUUCUCUGACAUCCAGCUGCAACAAUUUUCCCAAGCGCAUCACGAAGAAUAAAACCCAUCCCCACUCGUCUACCCGCAUCGUGAUAGGAGACAUCCACAUCAAGCCGAAGCAAUCCUUGAGGGGGAGGCUGCCAAAGGCGAGAACCUUCCCCCGGCAAAAGGCGCUGCUCAAAAAAGACUUGUUAACGAGCUUUCUGGAACGAGCUCAACAUGCGAUCCCCCACCAUCAGAUCCAGUUCAGAAUCACCAUAUUUGUUCUCAUGUUUGAUAUCACAAAGGAAUUUCCACACAAACCACAGCAAAAACAGCCAUCUCUCCAGCCCAUCGAUCCCUUUUUUAUCCGCUAAUAUAGUUAAUGCAGCAUUUAAACUCUUGUGCCUGAUGUUAAAAGUCUUAAUAUUUGGAGAAUUGCAUAUGGACAUUAGAUUCGGAAUUUGAAAUUGGGCUUAACAGACUACAAACGAAUAUAGUAUUUUCUGCAUGUUCCAAGAAGAGAUCGCAUGCAUAUACUAGGCUUGCCACGGUUAGCUCAGAACCGGCGGGCCGACCCUGAACCGGCCCGAAAGUCAACAGUUUGGGCCCGGACCGUUGACCAUAUACUAUAAGAGCUCCUAUUUACUUUUCUUACGAUAAAUUUGCGAUAAUAUAGAAUUCACCUUUAAAUCCAUCAAGCUGUUUAAGAACUUUGAUUCAUAGAAACAACUAUGUUCUAUUACAAAUUACAACAAAAAAAUAUAAAAAUUAAAUGAAUUAAAAGUUGAAAGACGAGCGAGUUGGUCGAUAUUGUAAGGAUAAACAUCAGUUGUUGCCAACAUCUGCAGUACCUUGAGAAGUAACAGAGUAGCAACAAGAUAUGAAGAAACCACAAUUGUCAAAGCAACUAAAUGUCAUUUACAAACACACAACCACCAAAGGAGAAGAAAAAUCAAUUAUCCUAAUUAACGCCAACUGCUCUAGCUCAUAGGAUUGAUAUUCACCAUCGGUAUUCUGGAGAUAAAGUGUGAAUUCUUGAUCUUUGCUGCAAUGCUUUUAGUUGCCACCAUCUUUAACUCCUUCAGAUUGUACAUCCCUGCAAUUGUUUCCGGGAGGGUAUCCAGAUAUGGACAAUCAUGGAUUUCUAGUUUCUCGAGACGAGACAAUACAUAACGAUCUCCCCAUUGUACAUUUCUCAGAUUCCACAACUCUUCGAUGCACAAGACUCGUAGCAUGGGAAAACUGAAGUCAUCCAACAUCACAAUUUGUUGACCAGUGUAUGCAUUCCGCAGUCUAAGGUAUUUUAGCCAGGGUAUCUCCCCUAGUAGUGGCAUAGGGUCCUCAUCAAGACAGCUAUUAACCAAAGUCAAUGAUUCAAGUGAUCGAGGGAAACUUUUGGGAAGCCUCGCAAGGAGUCCAUCCAAUUUGAGUGUACGAACACGAUGUAGAAUAUGAAGCUCGUCCAAACAAGGCAUGCUUUUGAAACGAUACCCUCUUAAGAUUAGGUGUUAAAGAAAUGUCGACUCAGCCAAUGACUCAAAGAGCUUGCAUAUAUCUGAGUUUCCAUCCAAUUCUUCUAUCCCCAACUUCUUAAGAAAUCCCAUUUUUAAGUCCGAUAGGUCAUAUGUCCAAUUAUCAACCGAGACGUAGGUUAAGGUCGUCAUAAUCCAUAUAUUGACAAUCUUCAAAGGCUUCCGAUAAAUCACAUCAGAC
rnacentral:lncRNA from 1 species